UUAGGAAUAUUCGUCAAUGGGGGAAACCCUGAACGAGCAAUGCCGCGUGAAGGAUGACGGUCCUAUGGAUUGUAAACUUCUGUUGUUAGGGAAGAACGAGCUAUAUAGGAAAUGAUAUAGCAGUGACGGUACCUUUCAAGAAAGCUCCGGCUAACUACGUG
rnacentral:rRNA from 1 species